ACACACACCUGGCAGGGGAGAUACCAUUUUCAGGAGGGGGGGUUUCCCAGGGCCGGGCUUAGCCAUUGCACUCCGAUGGGCUGACCUCUGUGAUUCCCCAAAGGUGGGAAACUCGGCUGUGUAAUUUGUGGUAGUAGGGGACUGUGUUCACUCUCUCCCCUA